rnacentral:rRNA from 1 species
UGCCAGCAGCCGCGGUAAUACGGAGGGUGCAAGCGUUGUUCGGAAUUACUGGGCGUAAAGCGCGCGUAGGCGGCUAUUUAAGUCAUUUGUGAAAGUCCAUGGCUCAACCAUGGAAGUGCAUGUGAAACUGGGUAGCUUGAGUACUGGAGGGGGUAGUGGAAUUCCCGGUGUAGAGGUGAAAUUCGUAGAUAUCGGGAGGAAUACCGGUGGCGAAGGCGACUACCUGGCCAGAUACUGACGCUGAGGUGCGAAAGCGUGGGGAGCAAACAGGAUUAGAUA